UACAGAGGGGGCAAGCGUUAUUCGGAAUUAUUGGGCGUAAAGCGCACGUAGGCGGCUAUUCAAGUCGGGGGUGAAAGCCCGGGGCUCAACCUCGGAACUGCCCUCGAAACUAGAUAGCUAGAAUCUUGGAGAGGUCAGUGGAAUUCCGAGUGUAGAGGUGAAAUUCGUAGAUAUUCGGAAGAACACCAGUGGCGAAGGCGACUGACUGGACAAGUAUUGACGCUGAGGUGCGAAAGCGUGGGGAGAAAACAGG
rnacentral:rRNA from 1 species